rnacentral:misc_RNA from 1 species
GAUGAAGAACGUAGCAAAAUGCGAUAAGUAAUGUGAAUUGCAGAAUUCAGUGAAUCAUCGAAUCUUUGAACGCACAUUGCGCCCGCCAGUAUUCUGGCGGGCAUGCCUGUUCGAGCGUCAUUUCAACCCUCAAGCACAGCUUGGUGUUGGGACUCGCGUUAAUUCGCGUUCCUCAAAUUGAUUGGCGGUCACGUCGAGCUUCCAUAGCGUAGUAGUAAAACCCUCGUUACUGGUAAUCGUCGCGGCCACGCCGUUAAACCCCAACUUCUGAAUGUUAACCUCGGAUCAGGUAGGAAUACCCGCUGAACUUAAGCAUAUCAAUAAGCGGAGGA